GAACGCAGCGGUCACCAGUCUGCCGUCAAGGUUUGUACUGGUCCGUUCGUUCUCACCUAUGGGAUGCUCACCUCUACCCUUAACUGGGCGGAGGCACAAAGCAGGCGCAGGACAAAACCGCAUGCGUCUCGCGCGUAUGCGGCCUACGUCUGUGGAGUUCCCAUUCGUUUACUUUGAAUAAAUUGGGGUGUUCAAAGCAGCCAAAAAAGGAGGCCUGAACAGUAGAGCAUGGGAUAACGGAAUACGAUUUCGGUUCGAUGUUUCGUUGGUUUCUAGGAUCGAAGUA
rnacentral:rRNA from 1 species